CCAAUGGUGAUUCUUAUCUCGGUGUUGUUUUUUUCGAUUGUUUGGCCAUUGGGUGACGUUUUUUGUUAUUGUCUAUGAUGGAGCGUUUGGAUAUGUUAAUGCGAUGAUGAUAACCGUUUAAGGUAGAAGGCUGAGAUGGCUUUUUAAAAGCAACCAUGCCUCCUUCCGUCUGAGACUACAAUUAUGAUUGUACACGAAUGUUGAUAAUUGAUAUUAUAUUAAGGGUAAAUUACACUUUUCGUCCUU
rnacentral:lncRNA from 1 species